rnacentral:rRNA from 5 species
CUGGAGGUAUCAGAAGUGCGAAUGCUGACAUAAGUAACGAUAAAGCGGGUGAAAAGCCCGCUCGCCGGAAGACCAAGGGUUCCUGUCCAACGUUAAUCGGGGCAGGGUGAGUCGACCCCUAAGGCGAGGCCGAAAGGCGUAGUCGAUGGGAAACGGGUUAAUAUUCCCGUACUUGGUGUUACUGCGAAGGGGGGACGGAGAAGGCUAUGUUGGCCGGGCGACGGUUGUCCCGGUUUAAGCGUGUAGGUGUGUGUUCCAGGUAAAUCCGGUUCACUUUAACACUGAGGCGUGAUGACGAGGCACUACGGUGCUGAAGCAACAAAUGCCCUGCUUCCAGGAAAAGCCUCUAAGCAUCAGGUAACAUCAAAUCGUACCCCAAACCGACACAGGUGGUCAGGUAGAGAAUACCAAGGCGCUUGAGAGAACUCGGGUGAAGGAACUAGGCAAAAUGGUGCCGUAACUUCGGGAGAAGGCACGCUGACACGUAGGUGAAGUGAUUUACUCACGGAGCUGAAGUCAGUCGAAGAUACCAGCUGGCUGCAACUGUUUAUUAAAAACACAGCACUGUGCAAACACGAAAGUGGACGUAUACGGUGUGACGCCUGCCCGGUGCCGGAAGGUUAAUUGAUGGGGUCAGCGCAAGCGAAGCUCCUGAUCGAAGCCCCGGUAAACGGCGGCCGUAACUAUAACGGUCCUAAGGUAGCGAAAUUCCUUGUCGGGUAAGUUCCGACCUGCACGAAUGGCGUAAUGAUGGCCAGGCUGUCUCCACCCGAGACUCAGUGAAAUUGAACUCGCUGUGAAGAUGCAGUGUACCCGCGGCAAGACGGAAAGACCCCGUGAACCUUUACUAUAGCUUGACACUGAACAUUGAGCCUUGAUGUGUAGGAUAGGUGGGAGGCUUUGAAGUGUGGACGCCAGUCUGCAUGGAGCCGACCUUGAAAUACCACCCUUUAAUGUUUGAUGUUCUAACGUGGACCCGUGAUCCGGGUUGCGGACAGUGUCUGGUGGGUAGUUUGACUGGGGCGGUCUCCUCCUAAAGAGUAACGGAGGAGCACGAAGGUUGGCUAAUCCUGGUCGGACAUCAGGAGGUUAGUGCAAUGGCAUAAGCCAGCUUGACUGCGAGCGUGACGGCGCGAGCAGGUGCGAAAGCAGGUCAUAGUGAUCCGGUGGUUCUGAAUGGAAGGGCCAUCGCUCAACGGAUAAAAGGUACUCCGGGGAUAACAGGCUGAUACCGCCCAAGAGUUCAUAUCGACGGCGGUGUUUGGCACCUCGAUGUCGGCUCAUCACAUCCUGGGGCUGAAGUAGGUCCCAAGGGUAUGGCUGUUCGCCAUUUAAAGUGGUACGCGAGCUGGGUUUAGAACGUCGUGAGACAGUUCGGUCCCUAUCUGCCGUGGGCGCUGGAGAACUGAGGGGGGCUGCUCCUAGUACGAGAGGACCGGAGUGGACGCAUCACUGGUGUUCGGGUUGUCAUGCCAAUGGCACUGCCCGGUAGCUAAAUGCGGAAGAGAUAAGUGCUGAAAGCAUCUAAGCACGAAACUUGCCCCGA